rnacentral:rRNA from 1 species
AUGCCACCCUUAUCUGUGGUUGCUCCGGGAACAAAGAUUCUAGUAGAGCCAUGCAAGAUGUUAAUAUCUCCUUUCUUGAUUAAAAGGCAGUCUUUCGGUAGACCAGACGCCAAAAUACUCGAGGAUUUGUAUCAGUACACUAUCAAUAAUGCUUUGCCUAUGUGGCAGUGGACUGGAGAUAUUCUGCAAUUAAUGAAGCGUGGAGAAAUGAUGGACACCAUAUGCCUAAAUUUGGCUGUUAGCAACAUGAUGAGAAAGGAUGCCCAUGAAUUAUUGAAUACUAAGUGUCUGGGUUGGAGGCACUAUGUUGAUUCAGACUGGGCGGUAAAAUCACUGAAUGGCUAUUCCAAUCCCAUGGUUCUGAAAAAAACAUUUUAUCGUGGAUCAGUUCUGUAUAAUGCUUCACGGUCACAUAUGGUAUUCAUCCCAGUCGCCAUUCCUGGUGACCAUUGGACUUUGUACGCUUUCAACAUGUGCGACCAAAAGCUCAGUAUUCUAGAUUCUCAACCAGAUACUACCAAAGGUGUUGAUCCUGCUGAGCGCCACCAGAAAAUUAGAUGUGAUGUCUGCGAUGCACUUACCAUAACAAUGGACUUUGCAAUUGACUUUCGAAGCUGGGAAUAUGGGUUCCCCAAAUUACCUAGACAACAGAACAGUUAUGAUAGUGGAUUUUUCGUAUUCAAUUUCAUGCGCUUGUGGGACGGUCAUCGACUCGCUCGAUGGUUUCCAACUGAAUCAAGGGAGUUGCGGAAGGAUUUUCUGGCAUACAUACUCUCGUGCAAGGAUAACAUUGUACAUCUGCCUGAAGAAGUUUCUUCAAAAAUUAAAGAUCUUCCUGGGAAGGUGAUGGAUUCCAAAUUGCAGGAGUUUGUUGUGGCAGGUGCUACACUUACUGCCGAAAAUGAUUUGGCAAUCAGCAUUUGCCCAGCGUUAGUGCCUUCUGCUGAAAGCUCCAAUGAGUAUAUUUGUUAUUUUAAUUCGCACUGGAAUCCAAGUAGAGAAGCGCCUGCGACAUCUCGUGCAGCUGAUUCUCCAUUAACAUCCUCCGAGUUUCUCAGUAGAUGUUAUCGAGUCACCUCUGAUGGGGACGGGGUUCUCCACAUUGCUGCAUGGCAUGGAAAUGUGAAACUAGUGGUUGACAUCUGGAAGAACCAUGGAGCCCUCUCAAGAGUGCUCUUAUCAGCAGUGAACAACAGAGGAGAUACAACACUGCAUUAUGCGGCACACAGAGGGCAUGAUGAUAUGGUCAAACUUUUAUUCGGUAUAAUGAGUGACAUGGGUAUUGCCAAGUUUCAGAGGGCCCAAAAUCUCAAAGGAGACACGUGCUUACACGAGGCAGUGCGCCAUGGACAUGCAAAGGUUGUAGAGAUACUGAUUUCAGAGGACGAAAAUGUUCAGGGCUUAGAAAGCCCCUCACUGGUGCAGAUAGUGGACAAUGAUGGUAUAUCUCCACUCUACUUGGCUACCACUUUACGAAGGAUUGAUAUUGUCCGGGCCCUCACACAAAGGCCAUACAAGUAUGUGGCAUCCUUUGCAGGGCCUGCAGGGAAAACAGCAUUGCAUGCUGCCAUUGUUCUCCUAGACAAAGACCCGGGUAUCGUAGAACUCAUUAUGAAAAAGGACCCACUUGCUCCCUUGUACACAGAUUCUAUGGGAUCACUUCCUCUACACGUCGCGGCUGCACACGGGAGAGUCAUUAUAUUGCACAAGCUGCUUAUACAAUGCCCUCAUAGUGUCCUCUCACUCAAUGCUUCUGGCCAGAAUUUUAUUCAUGUUGCAGUUGAGAAGGAAAAGCUCGGGAUAGUACGUUAUGCUUGCCAAGACAUUUCUUUCCCUCGUUUAGGAUUGCCAAGAAGAUUGCUGCCUUUGCUUCGAAGGAAAAAGUUCGACACCCAAAUUCUGAACGCCCAGGAUCAGGAUGGAAAUACAGCCCUUCAUCUGGCCGUAAAUAAUGCAAGUGAGGAUAUCUUCUACAGUUUAAUGGCGAACAUGCGUGUUCUCCUCAAUUUGGCGAACAAGGAGGGUUACACGCCCCUCGAUUUGGCUUUCUUGAGCCGUCACCUGGAAGUGAGCUCCAAGGGGUCUAAGGAAUGGAUAUUUUUCCUCCUGUUACAUGGCGGUGGCGAUUUUGGUAUCUUUAAUUGGGACCAUCUUACCAGAAAUGUGGUUAAACCAGACUGGGAGAAGGAAUCAAAGAAAGUGGGCAAGUCAGCAUCCAUGCUGACCGUGUGCGCGGUGCUCAUUCUCAAUGCAGCACUCCUGGCGCCCUUUAAUGUACUCAGCCACAAGGACAAACUGGAUUUAAAUGGAUUUCUGUUCCAAAUCUUUGUGACGAUCGACACCGCCACAUUUGUUUGCUCUGCAGCGGCCACAUUUUUCUGUGUGCGUGCUGGUUUUGCCAUGUCGGAUGGCUCUACACGCCUGAAAAACCUGUACAAUAAAGCCACCGUGGAUGGUUCCUUCAGCGUCGACUGCCCUUGGCGUGAUUUUCUCAUCUACCAUUAUUACCUUCCCACGAAGCGUCGCACAACUAUCCCAAAAUCCACUCUUUAUCGGUUCAUCUUCAAGCUACCAGUCCGGCAUGGAUCCAGCUCCAAGCCUCCACGGCCCCACGCUCUCUUGUUUGUCCUCCCACCAUUCUUCCACCGGCGGCGAUCCAGGUCCAGAGUCCACACCUCCACCACCGGCUCCCUAUGGCCUGGACGAGAUGAGCAAUGUCGGUCGAGGCAGACGAACUGGAUGGAGCCUCCGAUGCAGCUGACAGUCCGCGUCUUCUUCGCCGACUCCGUCUGGUCCUCCAGCAGGUACCCGCAGGGCAGGCUAAUGAAGUCGAACUUCACGUACGGUGGAGUCAUCACCGGUACUGUGCAGGUCGUCGCUGUCGCAGCAAACGAGGCCUUGAUAGAGGCCGGCCCAAAAGAGCUUCCCUUGGAGGAGAACAUCUCGUCCGCCGUGAAGGCGUCGGGAAUCUCCGGGAAGUGCCUCACCAUCACGUCCCAUACGCCGGUUGCCGGAGCGCACACGCAGACGAGCUCGCGGUUGACACGCUGGGGCCAGAACUUGCGCGCCAGGAGGACGAGCUCGUAA